rnacentral:rRNA from 1 species
UACGUAGGGGGCUAGCGUUGUCCGGAUUUAUUGGGCGUAAAGGGCGCGUAGGUGGCCCGGUCAGUUCGUGGUGAAAGCGCGGGGCUCAACCCUGCGUCGGCCAUGAAUACUGCCGCGGCUGGAGCACUGUAGAGGCAGGCGGAAUUCCGGGUGUAGCGGUGGAAUGCGUAGAGAUCCGGAAGAACACCGGUGGCGAAGGCGGCCUG